UCCAGGCAGCUGCAGCUCAUCCAACCUCCUUAGGGAAGCCGAUAUAUGGAAACCAGCUCUCUCAGACGGACGCUGGAUCGUUCUCUUACCGAAAGUUGUUUGUUGGCCUCCUGACGAGUGAGCUCUGGUUUGUCGCUUCCUCCGUAGCGUCUUGAUCUGAUAUGACGCACGUUUAUUUGGAACCAUCUCAUGUUGCAUGGGUGACCUGGUUCUAACUUACCUGUUUGUCUGCUGCCGGCAUGACCAAUCCCACCUUCCAAUGAAUCCUCUGACGGUCAACCUGCUGAAAGAGAAAGAGACAUUAGGAACCACACAGCUAGUUUUCAACCAAGUUCCUGCCAGUCUCAGCCUGUGUUGCCUUUCCUGGGGACCAGAUCCAAGGCUAUGCAUGUCCUUUGUAAUUGUUAAAUUCCUCCUUGUUUGCUUGUCCAAUUGUUUCUACCUGUACUACCUGUAAGUCACGAUCAUCGAAAUGAACAGAUAUGAAUCACAUCUCGGUGUGGUGACCUUAUUAUAAAAGUUUCCCUCUUUGAAUUGCUAAAUGACACUUUUAAAUCCUGGAUGUGGUGCCGGUCAGCUAGGUCUCCAAUCAGCAUUUUUCCGAAACCUCUUUGCUGAACGUAUCACCUCAAGUCUUAACCUUUUGAGAAAACAAUCUGUAGACCUUCAUUAUCUCUACUUUAACAUUGUUAAAUGUUUAAAAGUUAUAAAGUAACUACACAAAUAUGUAAAAAAUACCUUGAGAUUCUUUCAGUGAUCAUUUAAGUAUGCUUGUACUUGCACAAUGCUAGCAUUACUUACUUCUAACAUGCUUUUCUUUUGUAACUUGAUUAAAUAUACAAUUUUGGACAGAAUUUUAGGACUCUGUCUAAAAUUGUUCCAUUAAAAAAUAC